rnacentral:rRNA from 1 species
UACCUGCUAGGCUACGUCGACGGAUCGCUUCCCUGCCCACCCGCGCUGGCAGACAGCGUGCACGGUCCGGUCUACAAUCCGGCCCAUCGCGUCUGGACGGGGCAGGACCAGGCGAACCUCUCCUCCAUCCAGGGGUCGCUCUCGCCGGCAGUUGCCGGCCUUGUUGUCUUCGCGAAGACGUCUCAUGAGGCCUGGACCAUCCUUGAGCGCACCUUUGCAGCGCAGUCCCAGGCUCGUGUCUCUGCACUCCGUCGUCAGCUUGGAGAGUGUCAGAAGCUUGACUCCACUGCCACUGAGUUCUACAACAAGGUCAAGGGCCUCGCCGACACAUUGGCCUCCAUUGGACAACCCCUCACCGACUCCGAGUUCAACUCGUUUAUUGUCAAUGGUCUUGAUGAGGAGUAUGAUGCCUUAGUCGAG